AUUGAACGCUGGCGGCAGGCCUAACACAUGCAAGUCGAGCGGAUGAAGGGAGCUUGCUCCUGGAUUCAGCGGCGGACGGGUGAGUAAUGCCUAGGAAUCUGCCUGGUAGUGGGGGAUAACGUCCGGAAACGGGCGCUAAUACCGCAUACGUCCUGAGGGAGAAAGUGGGGGAUCUUCGGACCUCACGCUAUCAGAUGAGCCUAGGUCGGAUUAGCUAGUUGGUGGGGUAAAGGCCUACCAAGGCGACGAUCCGUAACUGGUCUGAGAGGAUGAUCAGUCACACUGGAACUGAGACACGGUCCAGACUCCUACGGGAGGCAGCAGUGGGGAAUAUUGGGCAAUGGGCGAAAGCCUGAUCCAGCCAUGCCGCGUGUGUGAUGAAGGUCUUCGGAUUGUAAAGCGCUUUAAGUUGGGAGGAAGGGCAGUAAGUUUAUCCCUUGCUGUUUUGACGUUACCAACAGAAUAAGCACCGGCUAACUUCGUG
rnacentral:rRNA from 1 species